rnacentral:rRNA from 1 species
CAGUCGCCGCGGGAAUACGGAGGGGGCUAGCGUUGUUCGGAAUUACUGGGCGUAAAGCGCACGUAGGCGGCUUUGUAAGUCAGAGGUGAAAGCCCGGGGCUCAACCCCGGAAUUGCCUUUGAGACUGCAUCGCUUGAAUCCAGGAGAGGUGAGUGGAAUUCCGAGUGUAGAGGUGAAAUUCGUAGAUAUUCGGAAGAACACCAGUGGCGAAGGCGGCUCACUGGAAUGGUAUUGACGCUGAGGUGCGAAAGCGUGGGGAGCAAACAGGAUUAGAUACCCGGGUAGUCCCUGUCUCUUAUAA